UACGAAGGGGACUAGCGUUGUUCGGAAUUACUGGGCGUAAAGCGCACGUAGGCGGAUUGCUAAGUCAGGGGUGAAAUCCCGGGGCUCAACCUCGGAACUGCCUUUGAUACUGACAAUCUCGAGUCCGAUAGAGGUGGGUGGAAUUCCUAGUGUAGAGGUGAAAUUCGUAGAUAUUAGGAAGAACACCGGUGGCGAAGGCGGCCCACUGGAUCGGUACUGACGCUGAGGUGCGAAAGCGUGGGGAGCAAACAGG
rnacentral:rRNA from 1 species